CCUACGGGAGGCAGCAGUGGGGAAUCUUCCGCAAUGGGCGAAAGCCUGACGGAGCAACGCCGCGUGAUCGAAUGAAGGCCUUCGGGUUGUAAAGAUCUGUUGACAGGGACGAAUAAGCAAUGCGAAUAGUUUUGUGUAUGACGGUACCUGUUUAGAAAGCUCCGGCUAACUACGUGCCAGCAGCCGCGGUAAUACGUAGGGAGCAAGCGUUGUCCGGAAUUACUGGGCGUAAAGGGCGCGUAGGUGGGCGCUUAAGUCAGGUGUGAAAGUUCCGGGAUCAACCUGGGGACUGCACUUGAAACUGGGUGUCUUGAGGGCAGGAGAGGAAAGUGGAAUUCCUGGUGUAGCGGUGAAAUGCGUAGAUAUUAGGAGGAACACCAGUGGCGAAGGCGACUUUCUGGACUGUACCUGACGCUGAGGCGCGAAAGCGUGGGUAGCGAACAGGAUUAGAUACCCUUGUAGUC
rnacentral:rRNA from 1 species